GCAGAGGCAGUCUUGAUGCAUCAAGGUGUGUGGGGCGAAUAAAAGAAAGGUGGCGUCUCCUUUAAGCUUUGUCCUUCAACACUCCAUACCUUUUACCUCUCGCAAUGUCUUUCUCUUUUUUUAUUUUUUAACCCUUAAGCACUACCUGCCAGCGACGCCUUGUUUUUAUAAUAACGUCCUUCCGCUUCCAAGGGCCUUUCCUCCUUUUUUUUUCUCCCCUCUUUCUGACUCCUGCAUAAGAGAGUCACAGCAGAUGCCUGCCGGCUGCAGCAUGAAGUGCGUUACUACCUUGUGAUUCCGUGACCCUCCUCUUUGCAUCCCUAACUCUCAAAAGCUGAUUCAGCUUUCAGCUAGUGCUCCGGUCGGUGACUGUACUACUGCUGCUGCAACUGGAAUCUCUCACAGCUGGUCCUGUGCCUCUGUGUACAGCUCUGCCUUGCAGUCCUGCUGUCCGUGAGCCCCAGAAUGCUUUGCUAAAGCUGGUAAAAUGGAACCAAAUCAACUGUUCAAUGGAUUUGGUCCCCUUCAACCAGCUGUAGCUGUGCAUUGAUCGCCCUGCUCUCUGACGCCAGGAGGGUCUGGAGGGUAGAGCACCACAAGCCUGGAGGCUGAAGACAAACAGCCUGCAAGACGUUGUCGAUAAGGACAUUAUGAUGGCUGGCAUCUUCACAUCCAUCAUCGCUGGUCUCAACUGGUGGGCUGAGCCCAGGUUGUUAUGUGGUCCCGGUCAAUGCUGUGUAACUGAUAGUAUUAAUCUUGACCUCACUGCCUUAUUGAUCUGGAGUGUAAUUUACCGUUCUGUAUCCCAACAGGAGAUGGCUUGAAUGGGUAUGUGCAUGUGAACUAAAUGUUUCAAUUGGGCACUUCUCACGCCCCUUUUUUUCUUUUUCAAUGCAGGUAGGUGGGGUUUUCUUUUUAGUUUUGUUUGUUUUUUGGUUUUUUUAAAACGUACGCUUUAAAUAAAUAAAUUGCAUUCCUUUUUAUGAAUUUUAAGUUUGUGUCAAAUCAAUAAAUAUGAAUUGAGUUCAUAAACUA